rnacentral:rRNA from 1 species
ACUACGGGAGGCUGCAGUGGGGAAUAUUGGACAAUGGGCGAAAGCCUGAUCCAGCCAUGCCGCGUGUGUGAAGAAGGCCUUCGGGUUGUAAAGCACUUUCAGUGGGGAAGAAAGCCUUGGGGCUAAUACCCUCGAGGAAGGACAUCACCCACAGAAGAAGCACCGGCUAACUCCGUGCCAGCAGCCGCGGUAAUACGGAGGGUGCGAGCGUUAAUCGGAAUUACUGGGCGUAAAGCGCGCGUAGGCGGUCUGAUAAGCCGGUUGUGAAAGCCCCGGGCUCAACCUGGGAACGGCAUCCGGAACUGUCAGGAUAGAGUGCAGGAGAGGAAGGUAGAAUUCCCGGUGUAGCGGUGAAAUGCGUAGAGAUCGGGAGGAAUACCAGUGGCGAAGGCGGCCUUCUGGACUGACACUGACGCUGAGGUGCGAAAGCGUGGGUAGCAAACAGGAUUAGAUACCCCUGUAGUC